rnacentral:rRNA from 1 species
UACGGAGGGGGCGAGCGUUGUCCGGAUUUAUUGGGCGUAAAGCGCGUGUAGGCGGCCACGCAGGUCCGCUGUGAAAACUCGAGGCUCAACCUCGAGCUGUCGGUGGAAACCGCGUGGCUAGAGUCCGGAAGAGGGGACUGGAAUUCCCGGUGUAGCGGUGGAAUGCGCAGAUAUCGGGAGGAACACCCGUGGCGAAGGCGGGUCCCUGGGACGGUACUGACGCUGAGGCACGAAAGCGUGGGGAGCAAACAGG